rnacentral:rRNA from 1 species
CAGUCGCCACGGUAAUACAGAGGGUGCGAGCGUUAAUCGGAUUUACUGGGCGUAAAGCGUGCGUAGGCGGCUUCUUAAGUCGGAUGUGAAAUCCCUGAGCUUAACUUAGGAAUUGCAUUCGAUACUGGGAAGCUAGAGUAUGGGAGAGGAUGGUAGAAUUCCAGGUGUAGCGGUGAAAUGCGUAGAGAUCUGGAGGAAUACCGAUGGCGAAGGCAGCCAUCUGGCCUAAUACUGACGCUGAGGUACGAAAGCAUGGGGAGCAAACAGGAUUAGAUACCCGGGUAGUUUCUGUCUCUUAUAA